UUCAGUCAAUUUGUCUUGGUAUUCCAUCGUUUGCGCGCGCGACAAAAUCCGAAAUUCCAUCGAAUUGUUGUUUUUUCAUCGUCGUCGCUCAGUUUUUGUGUUUGUAUGUUAUAAAAAGCGAAAUGACAUAGCUCAUUGUGCGUAUUCAUCUAUCUAUCGUUCGUUCAACACAGUUAAUAAAUAUUCAACCGUACCGAAGCUGUUAAAGUCAUUACGUUUGUUGUUAUCAAGAUUAACAGGCAGACAAUACAACGAGAAAAAAAAAACACAGCGUAAUUUCGCAAUCAAAGUGUGAUCAGAUUGAAUCGAAAAUGGGUUCAAUUGCAGUUGCGGUGAUUUUUGUUUUAUCGAUUAGUUUCGCAUUGAGUACACCAUUCCCGGAUGGCGAUUCAGUGGGUGCACGAUCGUCUUGCACCGAUGGUAACCAGCUAAAAUGUGCUUAUAAGAUUGUCGAUCAUCGACAUAACGGGGCAAUCAACACAAAAGUGCAAGACUCACCUGUCAAACGAUAUAGCUGGCUAUAUUGCAGUAGACUUGAACGUCUCAAUCUGUUAUACCACGAGGCUCCGGAUCAAAACUGCGAAGAAUGUAAAAAUGCACCACGUGUCCAAAUCCCGUGACAAAUCAAUACAAUUCAGAAUAUGACAAUAGUUUUGCUACCGUGUGCACCGUACUGACACAGCAGUAGGCAACCGAUUAGUUUAAGACAAAUAUUUAGCUAGCUGAAAAUGAUCAUCCAAUACAAAACAGAAUGAUCAAUUGAUCAUAGUAAUUUGACCAUAUGUUCAUAGUAAAAACAUUCCACAAAUUUAGACGUGUCUGGCUCAAUUAGAAUUUCGCUCUAGUUGACUGGCAAAAAUUACGUCGUAGUCAACCAUUUUUCAUACACAAAUUCAGUUCACAAUAAUCUUUUUUUUUCCGUAGAUUUUCGUUAAAGUCAAUCAGUCGGUCAUCGAAUUUGCACACGUGAUUGCAUUUCAGUCAACUUUGAACAUUCAAAUGAAAAGCAAUUCUUGUGGUGUGAAACAAAACCAACGAUUUUAUUCUUAGUGUAAAAACAUGUGUUUCAAAUUAUUGUUAAGACAACGAAAGAAUGUACUCUGUUGAUGGAAAUUACAUUUAGAUUUAUUAUCGCAUUUCAAAUACUGUAUUUAUUGUUAGAAACAAUUUGAAGAGACUUUUUUUCUUCUUCGAAUAUUUGUUGAAUUGAAGUAAACGUGCCAAUUUGCUUGACACAUUCAACUUCGAAGACUCAAAACAUGCAAAUGACUAAUCAAAUUGAUUUUGUAUUACCAUAUAAGUUGUGUGAUAUUCAUUAGCUGUAUAAGAUGUUCAUUUCCGAAUUCAAUCAAAGAAUUCCAUGUGUGCGUUAGAAAAUAUGUGAAGUUUGUGUAUUUUUUUUUUUGUAGCUCGUAUUGUUGUUGUUGCUCAUUAUAAUAAAUAUUGUUUUUUCUUCUUCUCUAUUUUAACCAAACAAUAAGCGAAUGGAAAGAAAUACAUGGAAAAUAAACGAAUAACUUCCGAUUGUUAUGAACAACAA